rnacentral:rRNA from 1 species
UACGUAGGGGGCAAGCGUUGUCCGGAAUCAUUGGGCGUAAAGAGCGUGUAGGCGGCCCGGUAAGUCCGCUGUGAAAGUCGGGGGCUCAACCCUCGAAUGCCGGUGGAUACUGUCGGGCUAGAGUGCGGAAGAGGCGAGUGGAAUUCCUGGUGUAGCGGUGAAAUGCGCAGAUAUCAGGAGGAACACCGAUUGCGAAGGCAGCUCGCUGGGACGUAACUGACGCUGAGACGCGAAAGCGUGGGGAGCAAACAGG